CCAAGACCCGUCGUUCUGGUCCCUCCAUAUCCUCCUUAUCCAUUCGUUCUUUAAUUUUUUUCUGGCGACAGAUUACAGAGAGGGCGAGGAGGUCGAGGGGUCGCGCGAUGGCCCCAGCAAAGAGGACCUCGGGAUGCCUGGCUUCCCGGCGGGGGCGGUGGUGUGGCUCCCGGCGGGUGAGUGUAGCUUCCUGACGGAAGCAGCGGCGAGACUCCCCACGGUCAAGCACGGAUUACUGUCGGGGGCGGCGGCGUGUUUCCCCGGUGGGUGAUUCAACCUUAGUGACGUCGUCUCUCCAAUUCUUCAUAUCGGGUUCAUGUAGGGGCGAGGUAGGCGCAGAGGGCGGCGAUUCGGCACCGCGUCAGGCUCGUCGACAUCAGCUUGCCAGCGAUUAGAUUCCAAACUAUAUUUUCCUGGAUAGCAUAUAUAGUACCCAUUUGUCCUACUUGAUGUGGUAUAGGCCUCUCUAUCGCGCAAUGAACCCUUGGAUUCUUUUCAGCUGAUCCUCUUCUGAUGACAGUUGCAAAGCCACAACAACGGCAUCAAACUGGCCACAAGAUCUUAAUUAUUCAUUUUUCAGAUGGACAAACCGUACAUUUGUUCUUUAAGUCAAGUACUAGUGCUAUACAUAUAUCUAAUACACAGAUUACUUGAAAAUGUGCACCAUGGCCUGCCUCUUGUUUGUAUGAAAGAUGGGUAAAUUGUAAAUGGAAAUAUAUGCCAGCCCAAAAAAUGUACUGUAUUUUUUA